rnacentral:rRNA from 1 species
CUACGGGUUGCUGCAGUGAGGAAUAUUGCACAAUGGGGGGAACCCUAAUGCAGCAACGCCGCGUGGAGGAUGACGCAUUUCGGUGUGUAAACUCCUUUUAUAUGUCAAGAAAAUGACGGUAGCAUAUGAAUAAGCACCGGCUAACUCCGUGCCAGCAGCCGCGGUAAUACGGAGGGUGCAAGCGUUACUCGGAAUACUGGGCGUAAAGGACGCGUAGGCGGGUUGGAAAGUCAGGUGUGAAAUCCUACAGCUUAACGGUAGAACUGCACUUGAAACUUCUAAUCUAGAGUAUGGGAGGGGGAGAUGGAAUUAGUGGUGUAGGGGUAAAAUCCGUAGAUAUCACUAGGAAUACCUAAAGCGAAGGCGAUCUCCUGGAACAUUACUGACGCUAAGGCGUGAAAGCGUGGGGAGCAAACAGGAUUAGAUACCCCCGUAGUC